AAGGUUAACUUGCCACAUAUGAUAUAAAUGUAUAUUCAGAACAUUUCAUUCUCUGAGACAGUGAUAGUUGAAUUUCAAAAUCAUGUAUCUAAUUCAGUAGUUUCAUCACCACAUAGUGGGAACAUUUUGCCUUCUGAUUGAUCUGCUACUAACAAUUUGAGAACAUGACUUUAAAUAGAACUAUGAAGAAACCUGGAAAUGUUAUGCUGAAGUAGCAAAAUUCCCAAAGACAAACAAUGCUCUUUGUCACAACUUAGUCGGCUCCUCUCUGACGAAGAGGAGUAGUAUGAAGGAUCGGAGGACCAAA